GCAGAGAGUGUCCAGUCUGCUGUCUCUAUCUGGAAUCUCUCAGACUAAAUUCAUUUAUGCUCAUAUUUGUCGUUUCCCUCAAAGUUUAAAUCUGUAUCCCAUAAUUUCUGUUCAAAACGAGCCAAAAGAGGCUCCUCAAAUCCUCACGAAAACCGAUCGGCUGUAAUUUAAGAGCAGAAUUUGCAUGACGUUGACAAAUACUUCCCAUAAUUGAUUAAAUUCAGCUCUGAGUGUCGUGUAAGUAUCGAUCAUUCCUUCCUCUGACAGCAUGCACCUUCUGAUCUGAGAUAUUCUCUCUUCUCACCUGUUCACCUUCUUCUUCUUCCUGUUGCUGAGUGUUUAGCUGCAGUGUCCAGGUGGUUUCAGUCCUGCUGUACCACUGGUCUGGUUUGUUCUAUGAGCUUAUAAACUCAGUGUUCUGCUGCUUGACCCUCAGUCCUUCCUGAAAUAAACUUUAUGUUCAGUGAGUCGACAAGCAUUUUUUCAAGAACAAAUCUUGGAAAGUAUUUGACCUUUUAAUGUAAAAUUUCACUGAAUAAAUAUUUAUGUUGAAGUUUCAUAGAAUCAGGGGUUGUUGAGCAGAAGGCUGCUGAUGGUUUAAGAUGGAGUAAACCAACGUGUCUGGAAGUCGAAGAACAACAGCAGCUGCUUCCAGAUCUACAACUGUCAGAUUUAUUUUGUUUAAAGCCACCAUGCUCAGAUUUACGGCUUAUUGGUGUGUUUUAGGGAUUAGAUGUUUGUUAAGAGGCUCAGGAUGAUGAUUACAGGUCAGCUUUUCAGAUUCUACUCUGGAACCUGAACCCUGAGGUGGUUGUUCUUCUGGAGGUUGUUGUUCUUCUGGAGGUUGUUGUUCUUCUGGAGGUUGUUGUUCUUCUGGAGGUUGUUGUUCUUCUGGAGGUUGCUGUUCUUCUGGAGGUUGCUGUUCUUCUGGAGGUUGCUGUUCUUCUGGAGGUUGUUGUUCUUCUGGACGUUGUUGUUCUUCUAGAGGUUGUGUUUCUUCUGGAGGUUGUUGUUCUUCUAGAGGUUGUGUUUCUUCUGGACGUUGUUCUUCUGGAGGUUGUGUUUCUUCUGGAGGUUGUGUUUCUUCUGGAGGUUGUUGUUCUUCUAGAGGUUGUUGUUCUUCUGGAGGUUGUUGUUCUUCUGGAGGUUGUUGUUCUUCUAGAGGUUGUGUUUCUUCUGGACGUUGUUGUCCUUCUGGAGGUGGUUGUUCUUCUGGAGGUUGUGUUUCUUCUGGACGUUGUGUUUCUUCUGGACGUUGUGUUUCUUCUGGAUGUUGUUGUUCUUCUAGAGGUUGUUGUUCUUCUGGACGUGUGUUUCUUCUGCACGUUGUUGUCCUUCUGGAGGUUGUUUUUCUUCUGGAGGUUGUUUUUCUUCUGGAGGUUUUGUUUUUCUUCUGGAGGUUUUGUUUUUCUUCUGGAGGUUUUGUUUUUCUUCUGGAGGUUUUGUUGUUCUUCUGGAGGUUUUGUUGUUCUUCUGGAGGUUUUGUUGUUCUUCUGGAGGUUGUGUUUCUGACGUCGGUGU